UACGUAGGGGGCAAGCGUUGUCCGGAUUUAUUGGGCGUAAAGCGCGUGUAGGCGGCCAGGUAGGUCCGUUGUGAAAACUCGAGGCUCAACCUCGAGACGCCGAUGGAAACCGUCUGGCUAGAGUCCGGAAGAGGAGAGUGGAAUUCCUGGUGUAGCGGUGAAAUGCGCAGAUAUCAGGAAGAACACCCGUGGCUAAGGCGGCUCUCUAGUACGGUACUGACGCUGAGACGCGAAAGCGUGGGGAGCGAACAGG
rnacentral:rRNA from 1 species